rnacentral:lncRNA from 1 species
UUAGUUUCUUUAGUACUUUGGAAUUAGCAAUUUUUUUCCUUGCCGUAUAUUUAUUUCCUAUGUGCUCCUACAUCUGGAUUAUAGACUUGUGAUGUGAAGGACUUGUAGUCAUUCCUACGUGCUCAUACGGUGUACGCCUCAUUAAUAGGUAGUCAUUCCUAUUUUCUCAUACACUAUUUUAUAAGUGAUUAGGCCAAGUGAUGUGCUAUGUUGCUUACCGGCGGAGUUCUGACCAAAAAAAAAUUACGGUGCAACCAGCAGCGGUAUUUUCUUGAAAACAUAGUGAUGGUCAGGAAGGACAUAAUAAUGAAUCUAUGUGACAAAUCGCAAAAGAAAAGGCAGGAUGAUACUAGCCUGGGAGCGACGACUCCGGAUAAGAUUAUGGAAGGGAGGUGACCAGGGAAUAUGUGACAACAUACAUGUUUUUGGUAAGUUGGAUUAAAACAAACCAUAAAAAAAAUAUAUUGGAGAUAAAAAGCUAGGGUAAAAAAUCAAGCAACACAAAUCGGGGCGCACUACGGGA